UACAGAGGUGGCAAGCGUUGUUCGGAAUUACUGGGCGUAAAGGGCGCGUAGGCGGUCCUGUAAGUCCCGCGUGAAAUCCCCCGGCUCAACUGGGGAACUGCGCGGGAAACUGUGGGGCUUGAGUUCGGGAGAGGGAAGCGGAAUUCCGGGUGUAGCGGUGAAAUGCGUAGAUAUCCGGAGGAACACCGGUGGCGAAGGCGGCUUCCUGGACCGACACUGACGCUGAGGCGCGAAAGCGUGGGGAGCAAACAGG
rnacentral:rRNA from 1 species